UUUCUGAAGUAUGAUGAACUUGAAGAUCUGACCAAGACCAUGGAGUCUUCAUUCAAUCCAACACUGAGCUUCAAAAA
ensembl:snoRNA